rnacentral:lncRNA from 1 species
UGAUCUGUCAUCUGUGGGCAUCUAAGUCUAUGUCUGUGGGUCUGUGUCUGUGAUGUGAUACGGAAUUACCACGGAAUUACGGAAAUUAAUAAACAAAAUACUUACAUUGUUCAUGAUACACUUACAUUUUCCUGUAUUUUUAUUGAUUUAGCUAAGUUUUAAAUAAAACUUAACCAUGGGCAGCUUAGAUAGAGGCGUUUUAACAGGAUUUAUAUGUCGAUUGUGCUCUGAAAUGCAUCGAGUUGUUCUUCACAUUUAUGGCGAAGAAGGCAUACGUUUGUGUAUAUCUGAAAAAAUAAAUAGAUAUCUGUCUAUUAACGUGUCUCGUUCAGACCCUCUUCCUAAAACUAUAUGCAAAAACUGCUUGGAACGCUUGGAGAAUCAACAUAGACUGGUGAUGCGUAUUGAACAAGCUGCGAAUAUGCUGAAAGGUCAAAGACGUGCUCGUGUUGGGCGCGGAUGCUAUGUGAGCAUGUGUGACAACUCGGAUAGCCCUCCACAUCCCCCUAUACCUAAAUGAAUCUUUUAUUAUUUGUUGCAACAUAAUUAAUUAAUUAUUGUAUUACUAGGUCUUGCUAAGUUAGAAAUGCAAAUAAGGAAGUAAAUGCCUAUUUCGUAAUCUAAUAUUAUCUUAGAUUGGUUAAAUAUAUUAUAAAAUAUGAUAUAGAGAGAUGCACCAAACUUUGAUUCCACUUUGAAAGGCAUUAUGCUAGCCACUCACCAUCCAAUAAGUUCAUCUGAUAAAACUGCAACAGCAGGACAUCUGAUAAAACUGAUUGUGUGUUAAGCCAGAUUUAUAUUGUCUGAUGUGUCAUGUUGUGAUGCAACAGAAUCGGUAUCAUACAUUUUGUAUGCGGCACAUCAGCAGCCAUCACGACAAGACACAACACAUAAGUGUAAACAUUGACAUAUAACAUGUAUAAUACAGAUUCUGUUCUGAUUCAUCACAACAUGACACGUCAGACAGAUAUAGAUCCAGCUUUGGUCUCAAUCUGCCUGACAUCAUGCAGAUCACGACCAACACACAAUCAGUGGCUAGCAUUAUGGUUAUAUAGCCUAGCAUUAUAGAUAGCCUUUUAUUUCAAUGGUGCAGUGUACAAAAACAUAUCCCAGCGGGGUUUUAAUACUUGUACACUUCCACAUAUUGUAAAUGCAGAGUAGACUAUAAGUUUGGUGCAUAUUCUAACUAAAGUUAAUACUAUUCAUACCUUAUGUGAAUUAUUGAUAAUGUGUGAUCAUUGGCAUAGUUGGCUACCGGGUGUAUCUACAUCUAUAUACUACGCCACAAUUUGGGCAGAUACAAUUUGUUCUAUGUAAAUGCAAAGGCAUAUGGGAAACACUGUCCCAUGUCCCAUGGUAUGAGACGGUGAACCUGUGUAUACCACGGGAAUUGGGCGGAAUAGUCCCUGCUUUGGACUGAUCCCAUCAGGAGUGCUGACAUGCGACCUGUGAAUUGAAAUUGACAAAAUGUCGUCCAAUGGUGACAUUGUAGUUCCAGUUCUAUAUCUUUCGUCCCAACCAUCAAUCUCCUAUUAAAAAGUGGAUGCAAAAUCAGCGACCAAAAAACACAACUUCUUGGCACUCAAUUCAAAUAAUUGCAUUUGCAAAUUCAACCUUGAACUCAAUCCUUAAGGUUGAAUUUGUUCUGAAUUUGAGAUUUUAUUGAAUAUUGGACUAUAUUUAAACGCCUUUAGUAUAAUUUUCUUUACCAAUAAUUCUAAAACAUUCAAAGCAAAAUUGAAUUGAAUUGAAAAAAUUGAUUGAUUUAAGUGAAAUUUUCUACAUGAUUGUAUGUCCUUUUAUUAUAAGAGGUCCAAUCGUCCCAACACAAUGAAAGAGAUAGCAGUAAGUAAUACCGGCGUGCACAGCCAAUGGUUGAAAUUGGUCUAUAUCUCUUUACUAAAUCAUCUUGUUUGACGCAUGUUAGCACUACUGGCCUCGUUAGAUGCUCCCUCUAGAAAUAUACUAUUAUGUAAUACAGCAAAGAUAAACUGCACUGCUGAUAUUUAUUUUUAAUUUAGUUGUAAUUUGUAAUGAUUAAGCUUUUAUGUCUUAGUCCUUUAUUCUCUAAUAAUUGUAGUCUUAAAAUAAAUAGAUUUCACUUGUUAUA